GACGAACGCUGGCGGCGUGCUUAACGCAUGCAAGUCGAACGGAAAGGCCCUGCUUUUGUGGGGUGCUCGAGUGGCGAACGGGUGAGUAACACGUGAGUAACCUGCCCUUGACUUUGGGAUAACUUCAGGAAACUGGGGCUAAUACCGGAUAGGAGCUCCUGCUGCAUGGUGGGGGUUGGAAAGUUUCGGCGGUUGGGGAUGGACUCGCGGCUUAUCAGCUUGUUGGUGGGGUAGUGGCUUACCAAGGCUUUGACGGGUAGCCGGCCUGAGAGGGUGACCGGCCACAUUGGGACUGAGAUACGGCCCAGACUCCUACGGGAGGCAGCAGUGGGGAAUAUUGCACAAUGGGCGGUAGCCUGAUGCAGCAACGCCGCGUGCGGGAUGACGGCCUUCGGGUUGUAAACCGCUUUCGCCUGUGACGAAGCGUGAGUGACGGUAAUGGGUAAAGAAGCACCGGCUAACUACGUG
rnacentral:rRNA from 1 species